rnacentral:rRNA from 1 species
AGAUUCCCCAUGGAGUGAUAUCUCGUAGUUGGAUAUCUGGAUUGAGUUUGUUCGUGGUUUCCACAGCAAUUCAGUUCAUCCUUCUGUUAAAGCACCUUGUACUUGUACCGGGUGUCAGCUCAGAUAUUUUACCUUGAGAAAAUUAGAGUGUUUCAGGCAGGCGAGGCGGAAUACAACAGCCGGAAUAAUAGAAUUGACAUGACUCUUUGGUUGGCCAGAAAAGUGUAAUGAUUCAUAGGAACGGGGGGGGGAAUUACGAAUUUAGUUGAAAGAAAAAAUUGCAUGGUGUUGAAAAAGACUAACUAAAGCGUUUCC